UUUGGAUUAUGAUAUAUUAAAUUUAAUUGAAUUAAAAAUAUGUAUGAUUGUCUUAAUUUUGAUUGAGUUAGAUAAUUAUUUUAUCAAUAAAAUGAUUAGGUGGUUGAUAUAAGAAAUUAUGAGAUUAUGUCAUAAUUAUAAAAGGUAGUGUGAAGCUCCAUAUAUUAAUUGAAAGGAUUAAAUAUUAUUUCUAUUGUGAAAAUAAUUAUUAUAGUAAUUAUAUAUCUACUUUUGACUAAAUAUUUGUUAUAUAUGAAUUUUUAGCCUUGAGAGUGAUUUAAAUCUUAUCAUGUUUUAGUUUAAUAUAUCUUGGAAAAAAAUAAUAGAUGAUAUUAAUAAUUAGAUAAAACUAGAUAAUGGAGUAGAAAAAUAUAAAAAAAAAAAUUGGUCAACCAAAUAUUUUCAUAAUGUAUCUCAUAUGACCCAAUUAGGAGUGUCAAAAUGGGUUAGUCUGGGGUCAUAUAUGUUUCAACUUAAAUGGGUCAAGUUAGCCCGACUCACUUUUAAAUGAACCACAAAAAAAUCAACUUGAUUCGGUUCACCUCAAGUCAGUGGAUUGGCUCACCAACUUUUUUAUAAUAAGAAUUUGAAUGAUAAAAUUUUUUAAAUUAAAAGUAAUUUUUCUAUAUUUUUUAUAAAAAAUUACAUUUUUUUCAACCACAGUCAUUUCAAUGAUUCGAAUACAAAUAAUAAACAAAUGGGUUAAAUAAUCAUUCAAAUGUUUAAAUUCUCAAAUACAUAAAAUAUCAUUCAAAAGUCUUAAAACAUCAAAUUCUCAAAUGUUGAUGGAAGUUUGCUUAAGAAGCUUCUAUGGAGACUAAAUCUUUUGAACUUCAAUAAGGCCAUUCAUUGAUGAUUUUCAACUAUAGAGUUGCAGCAAAAGACAAAGGAGAAGAGGUGAGAGGAGACGUCAUCUACUAGGAAAUAAGCCUUGGAAAAAGAAACUUACCACCAAGAGAGUGUGUCUUGAAUAAGAAAUUUAGAGAGGAAACUUAAAUGGAGGAAUAGAAUGAGAGAGAGGAUGAGAUAAAAUGGUGUGGAAAAUUAAAGAAAGAAAUAAAGAGAAGUUGAAUUUUGAAGUGUAUCUCACAAGACUCUUAUUC
rnacentral:lncRNA from 1 species